UGGGGGAUAUUGCGCAAUGGGGGGAACCCUGACGCAGCAACGCCGCGUGAAGGAAGAAGGUCUUCGGAUCGUAAACUUCUGUCUUCAGGGACGAAUAAUGACGGUACCUGAGGAGGAAGCCACGGCUAACUACGUGCCAGCAGCCGCGGUAAUACGUAGGUGGCAAGCGUUAUCCGGAAUUACUGGGUGUAAAGGGAGCGCAGGCGGGAUAGCAAGUCAGCUGUGAAAACUAUGGGCUCAACCCAUAAACUGCAGUUGAAACUGUUAUUCUUGAGUAGAGUAGAGGCAAGCGGAAUUCCGAGUGUAGCGGUGAAAUGCGUAGAUAUUCGGAGGAACACCAGUGGCGAAGGCGGCUUGCUGGGCUCUAACUGACGCUGAGGCUCGAAAGUGUGGGGAGCAAACAGGAUUAGAUACCCUGGUAGU
rnacentral:rRNA from 1 species